rnacentral:rRNA from 1 species
CAGUAGCCACGGUAAAACGUAGGUGGCGAGCGUUGUCCGGAAUUAUUGGGCGUAAAGGGCUCGCAGGCGGUUUCUUAAGUCUGAUGUGAAAGCCCCCGGCUCAACCGGGGAGGGUCAUUGGAAACUGGGAAACUUGAGUGCAGAAGAGGAGAGUGGAAUUCCACGUGUAGCGGUGAAAUGCGUAGAGAUGUGGAGGAACACCAGUGGCGAAGGCGACUCUCUGGUCUGUAACUGACGCUGAGGAGCGAAAGCGUGGGGAGCGAACAGGAUUAGAGACCCCGGUAGUCCCUGUCUCUUAUAC